AAGCUGCUAAGGAAAGGCGCUUGAGCUCUGUGAUUAAUGUAACUGCUGCAGCUCAUCUGUACUAUCAGACUGCAGCAACUGACAAAUGACAUUUAAAGCCCAGGAGAGCCACACCAGCAAGUGAUUUUCUAACAGCUGUGCCAGUGAGCAAAACAGAGGAGGGGCAGAGGUUGCUGCCAGCUUGGGCUGCCCAGAGAAUUCAAGGGUAGGAUUUAGUUAAAGAAAGAAUCAUUACGCUUUUCAUUGAUUUGUGUGCACACACCAGCCAGCCUUAUUUUUUCCUUUUUUUUUUUUUUUUAUUAAGUAUGUGUUCCCACUUCCUGCACCUGGACAUUUCAUCCUGGAUAUGUCAGCCUGGCUGGCCACACUCUGUACUUCCCAUGCUCCCCAAGAUGCUGCUCACUGAAAUCUCAUCGUACGCUUGCAGAGAGCUGGGAACAGAUUAAGAACACAUCAAUGAGACCUUUGCAAGAACAAGAACUGCAGGAUCUGGCACUAGUGCUUUUAAACCCUAAUUAGGAAUGAAAGAGUGUGAAGCUCGUUCCAGACUCAUUC
rnacentral:lncRNA from 1 species